UGGGACUCUGCAUGAAAUGUGUGGAUCAGCCCUGUGCCCGGAGAUGGCCUGUGACUCAGAGACCAGCAAGCCUGCCAUUGCCUGGUCAACCCUAGCUGUGAAGAAGCCUCCCGGACUCCUCCCUACUUCAUUUCCUGGUGCCAUGGUGUCAUCUCCUUUCAUCCACCCAGAAACACUGACGUACCGUAUAUUUCAGGGCUGAGGAUGGGGGAGGUGGAGAAUGUAUGCCGUCCCCCCACCCAGGCCCCUGGACGGCGAAGGGCCCCCAGCUGCCGGGCCUCCCCUGUGGAAUGGAGACGCCAUGUGCAUUCCCGCGAGUUAAACCUGCAAAGACCGACACGUGCCCGGCCCAAGAAGGCUCUGAGAGGACCCGCC
ensembl:lncRNA